rnacentral:rRNA from 1 species
UACAGAGGGUGCGAGCGUUGUCCGGAAUCACUGGGCGUAAAGGGCGCGUAGGUGGUGGCUUAAGCGUGCGGUGAAAGCUCGGAGCUCAACUCCGAGUCGGCCGUGCGAACUGGGCUCACUGGAGCAUAGUAGAGGCAGGUGGAAUUCCGGGUGUAGCGGUGGAAUGCGUAGAGAUCCGGAAGAACACCGGUGGCGAAGGCGGCCUGCUGGGAUCUUGCUGACGCUGAGGCGCGACAGCGUGGGGAGCAAACAGG